rnacentral:miRNA from 14 species
CCGGGACUGAUCGUAGCCUUCAAC